UUUUUUUUUUUUUGUGAUCUUCUUAUAGGAUUCAUUGUGAUGAACCUGGUUGUUGGCUCAUGAUGGUUUAUGCCUAAAGUUCUACUUAAACUUGUGAAUGAGCUUGCAUGUGUGAAGUUUGCAUGAGAAGUUAAGCAUAAUUGAUGAAUACGAAUUUGGCAUCUAAAGAAUUAUGAAAAUAAAUAAGCUGCGAGGAUUUGAGCCUUGACUUCACUAUUUUGCAGUCUUAUUUUUUGUUCUUGAGUGAUUUAUUUGAACUCGCAUGUAUCUCACUAGAACCUAU
rnacentral:lncRNA from 1 species